AACGAGGCCGACCUGCGGCUGAGUUACCUGCGGAGGGAUCAUUACCGAGUUUACAACUCCCAAACCCCUGUGAACAUACCUAUACGUUGCCUCGGCGGAUCAGCCCGCGCCCUGUAAAAAGGGACGGCCCGCCCGAGGACCCUAAACUCUGUUUUUAGUGGAACUUCUGAGUAAAACAAACAAAUAAAUCAAAACUUUCAGCAAUGGAUCU
rnacentral:misc_RNA from 1 species